rfam:Felis catus isolate Cinnamon breed Abyssinian chromosome E2, whole genome shotgun sequence.
GCCUGGGUGGCUCGGUCGGUUAAGCGUCUGACUUCGGCUCAGGUCAUGAUCUCACGGUCUGUGGGUUCAAGCCCCGCGUCGGGCU